rnacentral:lncRNA from 1 species
CACAGAAAAGCGGGUAACUCUCUAGGACGCCUCUAAGAUGCACCACGUGGGCGGCCGAAGUGGUGUGGCGGAAGCCGCUCAGCAGAUGGUACUCGCUACAGUCAUGUGCCACACCCUGCCCCACGCACGCGCAGAACGCGCUCGCUCCAGGGAUGAGCCGCACGCACGCGCGAGCCUGCUCGCUAAGGCUUCAGGACACCGCUGCGGCUGUCUUCAUUUGUGUCCCUGUCAGACGUGUGACUGUACAGAGUCAAUCAGUGCCCUCCCAGACGUUAGUCAGACUCUAAACCUGUCGGGUGAGUUUCCUCAGAGCCUGUCGGUAAAGCCAGCUGCACGUCAUCUCCAUGGCGCGUCAGCUGUGACAUUCACCACCGCUUGUGGCGUCAGGAUGCCUUCAUCACCUCGGGUGACUUCCUGGACGGGGCAGGGCUGCUUCACUAGAGCUGAAUUUCAGUGCAUCAGAGAGCUCUGCAUGAGGAAGCAGCAGGAGGAGGAAGCAGAUGUUUGAGCCUUGCUUUUUCUUGGCAUAUUCUUCUAUAACUACAUGAAACACAUUGGAGAGAGUAGAAGCCAUCGAGCGCCUGGUCUUUCCCAGAAGUGUAAAGGGGGCCACCAUGGGCUGACGCCAAAAAGCGCUGAGCUCAAGACUCACCACCCACGUCACAGACACUGUGGGUAACAUUAAAAUGAGGGGUAGCUACAGCUUAGUCCGCCCCUCAUAACCCACUC